UCUGUACAUACGGCUGACGGGUCGAUUCUCUUUUAUCUUUAAGCAUCUUUCGGGGACUCUGUGUGUGUGCGGUGGUGGUGUUUGGCGGGGGUGGUGGAGGUGGCUUGGGUCAAGGUUGAGGCGUGCUGUUUUUCAUCAAGCUCUAAUGGCUACGAAGAUGAUGAUGAUUUGCUGAUGUCUUCGGAUUUUUAAUAGAGGAGUUGCGUUACCAGAGAAGCAAGUUUUGAUGCUAAAAUGGGAGGGAGUGUGACUUGUUGCGAUUUUGUUUCCAGGCAACAUGCAUUGAAGAAAGCCAGAGAAAAGAAAAUAAUACUCCAAAUGAAAGUGAUAGAGAGUUGUGACUG